rnacentral:rRNA from 1 species
GACGAACGCUGGCGGCGUGCUUAACACAUGCAAGUCGAACGGGACGGCCCUGCUUUUGUGGGGUGCUCGAGUGGCGAAAGGGUGAGGAACCAGUGAGUAACCUGGCCUUCACCUCGGGAUAAACUCCGGGAAAGGGGGCCUAUACCGGAGAGGAGCUCCUGCUGCGUGGGGGGGGUUGGGGAGUUUCGGCGGCUGGGGAUGGACUGGCGGGUUAUGAGCUCGUUGGCGGGGAAGUGGCUUGCCAAGGGUUUGACGGGUAGCCGGGCUGAGAGGGUGACCGGCCACGUUGGGACUGCGAUACGGACGCGACUGCUACGGGUGGCAGCCGUGGGGAGUAUGGCACAAUGGGCGGCGGCGUGUUGCAGCAACGCCGCGUGCGGGAUGACGGCCUUCGGGUUGUAGGCCGCUGUCGCCUGUGACGAAGCGGGAUUGACGGUAGUGGGUUAAGAAGCGCCGGCUAACUACGUG